UACGGGGGGGGCAAGCGUUGUUCGGAAUUACUGGGCGUAAAGGGCUCGUAGGCGGCCAACUAAGUCCGACGUGAAAUCCCAAGGCUUAACCUUGGAACUGCGUCGGAUACUGGAUGGCUUGAAUUCGGGAGAGGGAUGCAGAAUUCCAGGUGUAGCGGUGAAAUGCGUAGAUAUCUGGAAGAAUACCGGUGGCGAAGGCGGCAUCCUGGACCGACAUUGACGCUGAGGAGCGAAAGCUAGGGGAGCAAACGGG
rnacentral:rRNA from 1 species